rnacentral:rRNA from 1 species
AACAAACGCUGGCGGCGUGCCUAAUACAUGCAAGUCGAACGGGGAGAGCUUUCGGGUGAGUACUAGUGGCGCACGGGUGAGUAACGCGUGGAUAAUCUGCCUUGAAGAGGGGGAUAACCAGUCGAAAGAUUGGCUAAUACCGCAUAAGACCACAGGAACUGAGGUUCUAGAGGUCAAAGGUUUUUCGCUUCAAGAUGAGUCCGCGUAAGAUUAGCUAGUUGGUGAGGUAACGGCUCACCAAGGCGACGAUCUUUAACUGGUCUGAGAGGAUGAUCAGUCACACUGGAACUGAGACACGGUCCAGACUCCUAAGGGAGGCAGCAGUAGGGAAUAUUGCACAAUGGAGGAAACGCUAAUGCAGCGACGCCGCGUGAGUGAUGAAGGCCUUCGGGUCGUAAAGCUCUGUCGCAGGGGAAUAACACAAUGAAGGUACCCCGUAAGAAAGGAUCGGCUAACUUCGUGCCAGCCGCCGCGGUAAUAC